CCCCGGGAGAGUCCGUGCCCCAGGCUUGAAACCUCAAAAGGAAUUGGCGGGGGGCCCCCCCCAACCACCGGAGCCAUGGGUUUUAUUUGAAGCCCCGGGAAGGACCCUUCCCAGGGUUUGCCAUCCCCCUGGCCAGAUGCAGAGAUGUGUCCUCCCCCUCCGGGGCCCAGGGAGACAGGGUGUGCCAUGGUUGUCGUCAGCUCGUGUCGUGAGAUGUUGGGUUAAGUCCCGCAACGAGCGCAACCCUUAUCCCUUAGUGCCAGCAAGUGAUGUUGGGCACUCUAAGGAGACUGCCGGUGAUAAACCGGAGGAAGGUGGGGAUGACGUCAAAUCAUCAUGCCCCUUAUAUCUUGGGCUACACACGUGCUACAAUGGUCGGUACAAAGGGAAGCGAAGGAGUGAUCUGGAGCAAAUCCCAAUAAACCGAUCCCAGUUAGGAUUGUAGGCUGCAACUCGCCCUACAAGAAGUUGGAGUUGCUAGUAAUCGCGAAUCAGAACGUCGCGGUGAAUGCGUUCCCGGGUGUUGUACACACCGCCCGUCACACCAUGGAAGUUGGUAAUACCCAAAGUCGCUGAGCUAACCGCAAGGGGGCAGGCGCAUAAGGUAGGAUCAAUGUCUGGGGUGAAGUCGUACCAAGGU
rnacentral:rRNA from 1 species